rnacentral:rRNA from 1 species
CAGCAGCCGCGGUAAUACGAAGGGGGCUAGCGUUAUCCGGAUUUAUUGGGUUUAAAGGGUGCGUAGGUGGCCUGUUAAGUCAGGGGUGAAAGACGGUAGCUUAACUAUCGCAGUGCCCUUGAUACUGAUGGGCUUGAAUAAACUAGAGGUAGGCGGAAUGUGACAAGUAGCGGUGAAAUGCAUAGAUAUGUCACAGAACACCAAUUGCGAAGGCAGCUUACUAUGGUUUUAUUGACACUGAGGCACGAAAGCGUGGGGAUCAAACAGGAUUAGAUACCCGCGUAGUCCCUGUCUCUUAUAC